CCCGACAAAUACGAAACUUUGACAUGUCUAAUGAUAUGAAAACACCCUCAUACACGACUUUAGAGAGAAUCAUUGCGUAUUUAGAAAGCGCACCACAGAGAUCACUCCAAAGUUCUGCUUAACCCUACAGGAUGGAUUACCGCAGUAUUAUUGUCUACGUCAUUUCCUUGUUACUACUGUUACUGAUGCUGAUUUCAGCUUCAGACAGUGCUUGUAUACAAACAACGACAACUACAACAACAACACAGGCUCCAACGACAACACAAUUUAUCCCUGUACCCUAGAACAGAUCUACACAUCACAAGAAGGAAAGGGUGAUAAGAUGAAAAUAGACAUUACGGAUAUGCGCAGUUGAAAGGAUUGAAAAUGUGCAUGUACUAAUACAAUAAAUUUCAACUUUUA